UACGUAGGGUGCGAGCGUUGUCCGGAAUUAUUGGGCGUAAAGAGCUCGUAGGCGGUUUGUCGCGUCUGCUGUGAAAGACCGGGGCUCAACUCCGGUUCUGCAGUGGGUACGGGCAGACUAGAGUGCAGUAGGGGAGACUGGAAUUCCUGGUGUAGCGGUGAAAUGCGCAGAUAUCAGGAGGAACACCGAUGGCGAAGGCAGGUCUCUGGGCUGUAACUGACGCUGAGGAGCGGAAAGCAUGGGGGAGCGAACAG
rnacentral:rRNA from 1 species